GUUGUAUGGUUAAGUGACUAAGCGUACACGGUGGAUGCCUUGGCAGUCAGAGGCGAUGAAAGGCGUAAUAACUUGCGAUAAGCCCAGAUUAGGUAGUAAUAACCUUUUGAGUCUGGGAUUCCUGAAUGGGGAAACCCACUUGCAUAAGCAAGUAUCCUGUUGUGAAUACAUAGCAACAGGAGGCAAACCGGGGAACUGAAACAUCUAAGUACCCCGAGGAAGAGAAAUCAACCGAGAUUCCGAAAGUAGCGGCGAGCGAAAUUGGAUUAGCCCUUAAGCUUUUAAUGAUGCAGGUGAAGAGUCUGGAAAGUCUCGCAAUAAAGGGUGAUAGCCCCGUAACCGACACUCAUAAUCAGUGAAAACGAGUAGGGCGGACACGUGAUAUCCUGUCUGAAUAUGGGGGGACCAUCCUCCAAGGCUAAAUACUACUGACUGACCGAUAGUGAACCAGUACCGUGAGGGAAAGGCGAAAAGAACCCCUGUGAGGGGAGUGAAAUAGAACCUGAAACCGUGUACGUACAAGCAGUAGGAGCACCUUCGUGGUGUGACUGCGUACCUUUUGUAUAAUGGGUCAGCGACUUAAUUUUAGUAGCAAGGUUAACCGUUUAGGGAGCCGUAGGGAAACCGAGUCUUAACUGGGCGUACAGUUGCUAGGAUUAGACCCGAAACCAGGUGAUCUAGCCAUGGGCAGGUUGAAGGUUGAGUAACAUCAACUGGAGGACCGAACCGACUAAUGUUGAAAAAUUAGCGGAUGACUUGUGGCUAGGGGUGAAAGGCCAAUCAAACCUGGAGAUAGCUGGUUCUCCCCGAAAGCUAUUUAGGUAGCGCCUCGGACGAAUACUACUGGGGGUAGAGCACUGUUAAGGCUAGGGGUCAUCCCGACUUACCAACCCUUUGCAAACUCCGAAUACCAGUAAGUACUAUCCGGGAGACACACGGCGGGUGCUAACGUCCGUCGUGGAGAGGGAAACAACCCAGACCGCCAGCUAAGGUCCCAAAGUAUAGCUAAGUGGGAAACGAUGUGGGAAGGCUCAGACAGCC
rnacentral:rRNA from 1 species